CGUCCUCCAGGGACCUCCACCAAGCGAGGUGACGAGGCUACCUCGCGAGCCCCAAUCGCGGCAUCUCUCGGAGUCAUUGCCAAUCGCCCAUCCCGUCAGGCCGUUCGAUUGGAACUGGAAUUGAUGGGACGCGGAUGGCGGGCGAGGGCCAGUACACUGCACCGGGAGAUGGUCGGUCGGCUGAAUGGCGUGUGAUGGCGUGGCACCAUUUGUUGCUUCGCCACACGAUCCAUUCCUUGCCGGUGAUUAGUUAGAGCAAGUUUUUCUUUUUUUGUUCUCAGUAUUUCCUUAUCCUUUUGGAUAUGGAUAGCAUGUAGUGGGCAAAAAAUCUCUAGCAGGUUGUGGAGAAGUUUUCCUGUACCUUCUUCCGGACUCGCGACAUGUGUCCAUUUAUUAGCUGGUUGUUUUUAUCUCCCUACUAGCACGGUCGAAAUAGAGGAGGAAAAAGAGCUGAAGCCAGCAAACCGCAUGAUCAUUGAUAGAUCAUAGAUGGCCAUUGUAUCGAUCGAAAGG
rnacentral:lncRNA from 7 species